rnacentral:rRNA from 1 species
UACAGAGGUCUCAAGCGUUGUUCGGAUUCAUUGGGCGUAAAGGGUGCGUAGGUGGCUCGCUAAGUCAGGUGUGAAAUUUCGGAGCUUAACUCCGAAACUGCAUUUGAUACUGGCGUGCUUGAGGACUGGAGAGGAGACUGGAAUUCAUGGUGUAGCAGUGAAAUGCGUAGAGAUCAUGAGGAAGACCAGUGGCGAAGGCGGGUCUCUGGACAGUUCCUGACACUGAGGCACGAAGGCCAGGGGAGCAAACGGG